UACGUAGGGUGCGAGCGUUGUCCGGAAUUACUGGGCGUAAAGAGCUUGUAGGUGGUUUGUCGCGUUGUUCGUGAAAUCUCACGGCUUAACUGUGAGCGUGCGGGCGAUACGGGCAGACUAGAGUACUGCAGGGGAGACUGGAAUUCCUGGUGUAGCGGUGGAAUGCGCAGAGAUCAGGAAGAACACCCAUGGCGAAGGCAGCUCUCUGGGCCUGUACUGACGCUGAGACGCGAAAGCGUGGGGAGCGAACGGG
rnacentral:rRNA from 1 species